UCCAGGACGAUUGGAUCGGGAUGUUGAACAGUGUCUAAGCUACAGGAAAUAUUCUGACAUCUUCGUUGUUGUUAAGAUUUAGACUUCCAAAUAGCAGAAUUGAGUCUUGGACUCCCAUGAAUGGUUUAAGCCUAUGUCUUAGCUUUCUAGC
rnacentral:pre_miRNA from 1 species